AUUGAACGCUGGCGGCAGGCCUAACACAUGCAAGUCGAGCGGAGCGGCGGACGGGUGAGUAAUGGCUAGGAAUCUGACUGGUCGUGGGGGACAACGUCCGGAAACGGGCGCGAAUACGGCAUACUAUCAGAGUGACCUAGGUCUGAUUAGCAAGUUGGUGGGGUAAAGGCCUACCAAGGCGAAGAUCCGGAACUGGUCUGAGAGGAUGAUCAGUCACAAUGUAACUGAGACACGGGCCAGACUCCUACGGGAGGCAGCAGGGGGGAAUAUUGGACAAUGGGCGAAAGCCUGAUCCAGCCAUGCCGCGUGUGUGAAGAAGGUCUUCGGAUUGUAAAGCACUUUAAGUUGGGAGGCGUUACCAACAGAAUAAGCACCGGCUAACUUCGUGCCAGCAGCCGCGGUAAUUC
rnacentral:rRNA from 1 species